GGAGAGGUGUCCGAGAGGCCGAAGGAGCACGGUUGGAAACCGUGUGUGGCGUAAGCCACCGGGGGUUCGAAUCCCCCCUUCUCCG
rnacentral:tRNA from 1 species